CUAUGCGCCUUGCCACGCCCGCUCAGAAACUUAAAGGAAGUUGACGGGGCCCCGCACAAGCAGCGGAGCGUGUGGUUUAAUUCGAUGCUACACGAAGAACCUUACCUGGGUUUGACAUACACCGGAAAACCGUAGAGAUACGGUCCCCCUUGUGGUCGGUGUACAGGUGGUGCAUGGCUGUCGUCAGCUCGUGUCGUGAGAUGUUGGGUUAAGUCCCGCAACGAGCGCAACCCUUGUCUUAUGUUGCCAGCACGUAAUGGUGGGGCCUCGUAAGAGACUGCCGGGGUCAACUCGGAGGAAGGUGGGGACGACGUCAAGUCAUCAUGCCCCUUAUGUCCAGGGCUUCACACAUGCUACAAUGGCCAGUACAGAGGGCUGCGAGACCGUGAGGUGGAGCGAAUCCCUUAAAGCUGGUCUCAGUUCGGAUCGGGGUCUGCAACUCGACCCCGUGAAGUCGGAGUCGCUAGUAAUCGCAGAUCAGCAACGCUGCGGUGAAUACGUUCCCGGGCCUU
rnacentral:rRNA from 1 species